GACGAACGCUGGCGGCGUGCUUAACACAUGCAAGUCGAACGGAAAGGCCCUGCUUUUGUGGGGUGCUCGAGGGGCGAACGGGUGAGUAACACGUGAGUAACCUGCCCUUGACUUUGGGAUAACUUCAGGAAACUGGGGCUAAUACCGGGUAGGAGCUCCUGCUGCAUGGUGGGGGUUGGAAAGUUUCGGCGGUUGGGGAUGGACUCGCGGCUUAUCAGCUUGGUGGUGGGGUAGUGGCUUACCAAGACUUUGACGGCUAGCCGGCCGGAGAGGGUGACCGGCCACAUUGGGAGGGAGAGACAGCCCACACUGCUACGGGAGGCAGGAGUGGGGAAUAUUGCACAAAGGGCGGAAGCAAGAUGCAGCAACGCCGCGUGCGUGAUGAAGGCCUGCGGGUGGGAAGCCGAUUUCGCUUGGGACGAAGCGUGAGGGAGGGUAAUGGGUAAAGAAGCACCGGCUAACUAGUG
rnacentral:rRNA from 1 species